AAUUCUCAACCACGCUUUGAUUGAUUUCGAGGCAUGGCUUGGACUUUGGGAGCUGCUGGCGACCUUUGGGACGUCGGCUCUCCUUAAAAGCAUUAGCAAAGGCGAGUCUAGCAUGAAUGGCCUUCGGCGUGAUAAUGAUCGUCGUGGCUAGAGUGCUGGGCAUGAAUUGUCUAUGCUUCUAAUCGCUGUUUCACUUCGGUGGACAGAACUCUAAUGAA
rnacentral:misc_RNA from 1 species